GAACUUUUUGGGGCGUCCUAAACAUGCAAGUCGAGCGAACAGACGAGGAGCUUGCUCCUCUGACGUUAGCGGCGGACGGGUGAGUAACACGUGGAUAACCUACCUAUAAGACUGGGAUAACUUCGGGAAACCGGAGCUAAUACCGGAUAACAUGUUGAACCGCAUGGUUCAACAGUGAAAGACGGUCUUGCUGUCACUUAUAGAUGGAUCCGCGCCGCAUUAGCUAGUUGGUAAGGUAACGGCUUACCAAGGCAACGAUGCGUAGCCGACCUGAGAGGGUGAUCGGCCACACUGGAACUGAGACACGGUCCAGACUCCUACGGGAGGCAGCAGUAGGGAAUCUUCCGCAAUGGGCGAAAGCCUGACGGAGCAACGCCGCGUGAGUGAAGAAGGUCUUCGGAUCGUAAAACUCUGUUAUUAGGGAAGAACAAAUGUGUAAGUAACUAUGCACGUCUUGACGGUACCUAAUCAGAAAGCCACGGCUAACUACGUGCCAGCAGCCGCGGUAAUACGUAGGUGGCAAGCGUUAUCCGGAAUUAUUGGGCGUAAAGCGCGCGUAGGCGGUUUUUUAAGUCUGAUGUGAAAGCCCACGGCUCAACCGUGGAGGGUCAUUGGAAACUGGAAAACUUGAGUGCAGAAGAGGAAAGUGGAAUUCCAUGUGUAGCGGUGAAAUGCGCAGAGAUAUGGAGGAACACCAGUGGCGAAGGCGACUUUCUGGUCUGUAACUGACGCUGAUGUGCGAAAGCGUGGGGAUCAAACAGGAUUAAAUACCCUGGUAGUCCACGCCUUAAACGAUGAGUGCU
rnacentral:rRNA from 1 species